rnacentral:misc_RNA from 1 species
AACUCAAGCAUUAUACCACUCUUCCAACCCUUCCUCCCUCUACAAUGAAAAUUUAAGGAAAAAAAAUUGAAAAUUUUGGUAUCAAUCAACUGAAAAAACUGUAGCUAAAAUUUCAAUUUCUCUGAGGAAGAUUAUUGUGUACUGGCUUCAAAGUACUCGACUUCCAAUAGCUAAUAGGACACGGACUGCACACACCUUCUCACUAAUAUAUUAGAAGAACGAAAAUCUUAGGCCAUUGCUUGCUGCAAACAAAUUGUAUUCUUCCAUAGUAGUCUCUUUCCUAUUGCAAGCAGGAUCAUUUUCAACUUGAUCCGCUGAAACUUUCAAAGAACGAUCUCCAACAAUUCCAUCUCUCGAAAGCUCAGGAUCUGGUUUACAUCCAGAUAGAGCGACAGGCCCAUCAAAAUGGAACAAGGAAAAGCUGGUGUCACUGACAUGCAACUUGGCAGAAUUAUCCACUUUUCCACCUUCUCCACUUGGCAGAACUUCUGUUGGAUGUGAUGCGGCUGUUGCCUUCUUGUUUGUUUUGGCUUCAGUUAAAGCUUCCUGCCCUGAACACAUCUUCGUUUGCUCUUCUGAGUUAAAGCCAUUUGCUUUGCCAACUGGUUGAUAAACUGGCACUGGACCAGGAUUAAAAAUAGGAGUUGCCAAAUGCUGCAAGGGACCAUACUGCAUAUAUAACUGUGAGUUUCCGUUUAAACCAUAGCUAAGAGGGCCAGCAUA